CCGAAUCGCACGCCAUGUUUUUUUACUCGCGAGUGGAAAUUGUCGAAAGUGUCGUGCCGGAAUAAAUUUUAUAAUAUUCUUAAAGAAUAUCGUUAUUCCUACCUAACUUAGAAGCCAAAAAAAAUGGAAAGCUAUCGUUAAGCAUAAUAAAAAUUGCGUGACUUGUUGCGGGAUUUCUCAAUGCGGGCUUGGUAUGCGAACGACUGCACCUGGGGAGCGGCAUAUUGUGGCCACAGCAAUUCGAUUCGGAGCUUGCCGGAAUUUCCGACAGGCUAUCUUCUUGUGAGCCACGAUUGCACGGCUUUGGUACCGGGUCGGGAGUUUUCCCUCACAUUUACAAUGGAUACAUGCACGGUUGGGUGAUCACGGCUGCGUCCGUCCGUAGUGAGUCAUCAGCGGCACCAGUUCCGAAUAUUCCCCGACUGUCGACAGCUGAUUCGAUGAGUUAAACAGCCCGAAUGGAAAAUAACCGCUUUUGAAGAGGAAAAUCGUGUCUAGAUCUUUCGCCGUGGGCCCUAAUCAAGGAACCGCUCGGCUGGUAUAACCAAGAAAAGUCUGGUAUGCCAGGAAAGGUUCGGAUAGUUGAAAGAAAAAAAAAACGAAUGGCCGGAGCAUGUGUCCAAACCACUUUCGAGCGAUUUAAAACAAAGGAUUGAGCUGGUGUAACCACGGAGAGUUCCGCCAGUCUUCACAUAUUGGCUGGUUCAGACGAAACGGUCUCCACCUGGGAUGCAGCAAAAAUAGUUACCUCCACUUCCACAUCAUCGUUGUCGGCAACAUCUUUAAUUAUAAGUGCUUACGGAAAUCAACAGCACAUCAGCAGUCCAAGUAAUGGAACUUCAGCAGUACCUCCGAUAUCAUGACCACCGCCGUCAAUCGAUAAUCAGAAGACCAGCAAUUUCUCUGUGACGGAAGCGGCCGUCGUGUGGUGUCAAAUCGUACUGCCCUAUUCAACAGUAUGACGAAGAACCUACUCACCCAAGCCACUUUUGCAACGCCGAGUCAGCAUUUGACAUCACAUGGCACCGAUUUUCGUGCCGCUGUUAAUCAGGAAAAAGCAUCAUCAAGAAAGCAACUGCUGCCUUUGCGAAUUUAAGAAAUAUCUGGAAAACCAGGCAGAUAAGUGAACGCACCAAAAUACGAAUUUUCAACUCUAACGUGAAAUCUGUGCUGUUAUACGCUAGCGAAACAUUGUGUGUAUCAGUGGAGAAUACUCAACGGCUGCAGGUGUUCAUUAACAGAUGCCUGCGGUAUAUAAUUCGGGCCUGGUGGCCUCACAACUGGAUCUCUAAAAACGAGCUCCAUCGUCGUUGUCACCAGAGGCCGAUAGCAACAAAAAUUCGGGAUCGGAAGUGGAGCUGGGUCGGCCACACUCUACGUAGGGGCGGAAACGAAAUCUGUAAACAAGCAUUAGACUGGAACCCAGCGGGACAUCGCAGCAGAGGCAGACCCAGAGGAUCAUGGUGGCGAAGCCUCAAUAAAGAAAUAAAAGAAGUCGACCGAAAUCUACCUGGCAACAGGUUAAAGCGACAGCCGGGCAACAUGCAGGACAAGUAUUAGGAAGAAGUGCGGAAAAAAAUGUAGGAAUUGUAGCUAGACUGGGCCGUAGAAAUGAGAGUUCACGAUUCAGAUCAAGGUUUAGAGGGAGAAGUCGGAGUUAUGAUCGGUACCGGUCGAGGAGUAGAAGCGGAAAUGGUUAUGACCGAGGUUAUGACAAGGGUUCAGGUAGAAAAGAAAAACCUUUAUAUUUAUGUAAAAAAAACUGGACAUACAAGAAAGUAUUGCUAUCGUCUAAAAGAACGGAGUCCUCUAAACAGUAAAAGUAAUGUUAAAUUUGUAGAUUCACCUAAACCAGGCAGCUCUGGACUAUUUAGAUUGAAAGUAGAUAUGGAGACAGAUGAUGAAGAAGAAACUUUAGGCUGCCUUAGGGCCGAUGCCCACGUAGCGUUUUUUCAACUCUGCGUGCACGUGGCGUUGAAAAAACGCAGGUGUGCAUCGGUGCGGCGACGCUGCGUUACCGCUUUUUUCCGAUACACACAUGCGUCCUUUUAACGCCGUGUGCACGCAGCGUUGAAAAGACGCUACGUGGGCAUCGGGCCUUAUGAUUUCGUCGGUCAACAAAAUUAGUGAACCUUGUUAUGUUGAGCCAAAAGUUGAAAGGAAAUAUUUGAAAAUGGCAAUAGAUUGUGGUUCUUCAGCGUUAUUUCAGAGAAGACGUUUUUGAGAGAGUUUAAGCAUUGUAUGCUAGAAAAAUGCAGUAGGCUUUUAGUGGUGAUUGACGGAAAUCGAUUUAAAGUUUUGGGCAAGUUCACGGUUUUAGUUCAGCUGAAUAACAGUCUUCACGAAAACAUGAACCGCGUUUAAACAAGUGCAGUUUUCCCGUGUGCAAGUUCGCACUCAAACAUGCAUACUAGAUCCAAACCGAGUUCAUCAUAAACCGAACCAAAAUCGCACCCGGUUUGAACACGAGUGUGCGCCCAAGUUCAAACACACGGGUUUGAACAUGGAAGUUUAAACAUCAGUUUACACACAGCAUGCUGUUCAUCUGUUCAUAUUGGUCAAGUGGUUUCUCUUCUUGAGUAGCGGUGAUGGCCCAGUGGAAACUCGUUUGACGUUCACUCAGGGCACUAGUGUUUGAAUCCUUGUCUUUGCAUUUUUUUAGAAAUGGCAUAUGAAUAGUUUUAGUUUUAUAAAUGCCACUUUUCAGCCCUUAUCAGGUGGUGAAAUAACUGAAUAAGAUACUUAAACGCCUACCCACAGUUUGCGCUUGGUCCCGAUAUCUCAAUAUCACAACAUUUUUUACUCAACAUUUUGCAUAAAAUCUUCAGAUAUUAUUCUUAAUGCUCAUAACAACUGAAUAUUAAGUAAGUAGAAUAAAUUAUCAAAGUAAGUAGAAUAAACGUGUCAGAAAAAUCUUAUCCCAAAAUUUUAGAAAUAUGAACUAAUUAGUUUUUUGGUGGUUGCAGAAUCCCUUAAUCCUGAGAAGCAUUGCUUUCAGAACCUCGAAAAUAGAACAAAAAGUUCCGCCCAGAGCAGAUUCGAACCUAAGACGUCAUGAAUGAAAGGCCUGAAUCAAGGCCUCACCUCUAUAAACGCUUCGUUAUGCAAGUGCAAAAAAUGUGCACAACAUGUUUCAGUUUUUUAAUCAUACCUUCAUUGAAGUUCGGUUAACUUCUCUUAUUCGAGAUAUGAAUAACAAGGCUGGGAAACGUGAAGAAUCAACAAUAGUUUCCCUAGCAACCCUUUCAUUUACCCAAGCGUAUCAUUCUCGUGUGCAAGCGCACAUGUUUGAACCCAAGUUUAAACUCGAUGUUUGAACAUUGUACAUUGCGCCUGGGUGUAUCGUAGUUCAGGUUCGUGUUCAGAUUGCUAUGUGCAAGUUCGAACAUAGCAAGCAAUGUUUGAUGUGGUGCAAAAACUUACGUGAACAUCUCACACAUGUUGCACCUUGAAGACUGCUGAAUAACAUUCAACAUUAUCUUCAACUAGCGGCCCUGAGUUGUGACAAUGAUUUCGUUCCACUGUUAGUGCGUACGUAGUAAGUGCCCUACAACUCUCGCCAGAAGCGCAGUUUUAUAUUUUGUAGAGAAAGUUCAGCAACAGCAGAGCAACCAACAGUAACCAUUGAGAAUCCCUGUAAAAGCAUACCACCCGCAGGACGAAAUGAUAUUGCCUGUAGCAGCCACCUUACUGAAUCAGCGGAUCAAGUUUUUCGGAACAACAAACGACAAUGUGAAGAUGAUGUAUUGUCUAUCCGGAACAAAUUUAUAUUAACGCUUUUAUACCGAAGUUGGAUUUUUCUCCAGAUAAAGGCAACUUUCCCAACUUCGGAAGUAGUGCGCUGGAUUCACAUAGAUGCGCUAAACAACGCAUUAAUUAGUUUGACAGAUAAAACUUCGGAAGAAAGUUCGGUUCGGAAGUCCCGACUUCCGAAUUCUAAGUUGAUGCUAUGCCGACAAUACCUAUCAAUAGUGAUACUGACUCCAGAGAGUGAAAUUCUAUGGUUUUGUGUCAGAAUCGAACAUUUUUGAUGAGGUCAGUAUGGAAGCAUCCCAAUUGCCUAGAACGGCUAUCGAAAAGGAAAAUUAAAAAAAAUCGAAAGAAUGAUUUUAUCUAUUAUUAGUAUAAGUGAAUGAUUUUGAAAUUUGAAUAGAUUAAGUCUAUGUUUGGAAAAUUUAUGUAAAGAUUUUGAUGAAGUUAAUACUAAGUAUUCUCGAAUAAAAUGUUUAUUUGCAUAUCAGUGAAAUUUAAAAUAAUGGAUUUUUCAAGACAUUGUCUUGAAGGGAUGACGAGUUGUUAUAACCAGAAGUUCGAAGUCGGUAUAAUCGCAAACGCCAGUUCAGACUGUAGGCGGUAAAGUGGCAAAUGCAUGUUAAACAAUAAGAGAGAUAGAUAAACAGAAUAGAAUGAAAGAGAUAUCGAGUAAAGGAAAUAUAGAUGUGUAAAGUGAA